GACGAAGGGGGCUAGCGUUGUUCGGAUUUACUGGGCGUAAAGGGCGCGUAGGCGGCAUGACAAGUCACUUGUGAAAUCUCCGGGCUUGACCCGGAGCGGCCAAGUGAUACUGUCGUGCUAGAGUGCGGAAGGGGCUACUGGAAUUCUCGGUGUAGCGGUGAAAUGCGUAGAUAUCGAGAGGAACACCUGCGGCGAAGGCGGGUAGCUGGGCCGACACUGACGCUGAGGCGCGAAGGUCAGGGGAGCAAACGGG
rnacentral:rRNA from 1 species